rnacentral:rRNA from 1 species
AGGCUUCGGGUUGUAAACUGCUUUUGUCAGGGAAGAAAUCUUCUGGGUUAAUACCUCGGGAGGAUGACGGUACCUGAAGAAUAAGCACCGGCUAACUACGUGCCAGCAGCCGCGGUAAUACGUAGGGUGCGAGCGUUAAUCGGAAUUACUGGGUCGUAAACGCGUGCGCAGGGCGGGCUUUGCANAGACACGAUGUGACAAUCCCCAGGGGCUCAACCAUGGCGAAACUUGCAAUUCUGGUGAACUUGGCAAAGGGCAAGAAGGUAUCCGGCCACGAAGAGUGGAGAAUCGGCAACUAUCACAGACAGGUGCUAUGACCAAGAUCGUACAAAAUUGGCCGUUUACGCAAUUAAUUGCCCGAGCACGAGUAGAACAAAC